UGAGGAAUAUUGGUCAAUGGGCGGAAGCCUGAACCAGCCAAGUCGCGUGAGGGACGACGGUCCUACGGAUUGUAAACCUCUUUUGCCGGGGAGCAAUGCGCGGUACGCGUACCGCGACGGAGAGUACCCGGAGAAAAGCAUCGGCUAACUCCGUGCC
rnacentral:rRNA from 1 species